rnacentral:lncRNA from 1 species
UUCACAAUGUCGGACUCUAAUUGUCUCUAAGUUUUGGAGGCCCUGCAACAGCUCAACUGGAAACAACUUCUUCACCCUCGAACAAUAACUCAUAUGGAAUUUUUUAAGAGAAGAGAAGAUGGCAGGUGGUGUUGGAGCAUGAGAGGUAGAUUCAAUUUCAACCACUACUCCUAUUCCUACUCUCACAACUUCACGCAAGUUUCUCAACAAAAAUAGGCGUAACUCCUCAAUGUUGUCAAGUGCGUCACAAGACGAUAAUGACAAGUCAACCACACACUCUAUCCCUCUACAGUUCGUAAUUUGACAUUCCUUCCACUCAGUCACCUUACGAAACAAAGGAAUGUUGUUUAAACAUUUGAAAUCAUCGUACUUUUGAAUAGUUAAAGUUUGAAGGUCAUGUGGGACCACCCUAUCAUCACACCUCUCUAUCUCCGAACCUGUGAAUGUAAUCUGUUUCUUAAUUUUUUUGAAAUUUGGGCAACCCCAUAAAUCAAAACGCCAAUCCACCGAUGGUCCCCCCACUUGAAAAAAGAAAGAUGUAGGGCAUUUACCUUGUGUACACUCUGCGUAUUUAUUAAACUCUUGCACGUUGCGAAAUGAACAUUGAACCCACUCAAGCUUCCUCAAUUGGCCUACUUCUUCUCCCUUUAAAAACGUCUUCUCUAUUAUUAAGCAUUGGAGAUGACAGAUCCUCGGUAAUAUUCCUACCGGUAGCUCUUUUAAAGCCGUUGACCCCAUAAGAAGAUCUCUCAAGUUUUCUAACAUCUCUAUGCCAUGAGGAACCUCUUCAAUUCCUGUGCCCAAAAGGUUCAACUUUCUUAGUGCUGUGAGCUCUACUAAGGAAGGCACCUUUUUUAACUCCUCACAACCAGAAAGUAUCAAUGCAUUGAGAGUUUUCAAGUUAGAGAUCGAAUUGGGCAGAUAUUCUAAGGAACGAUUAUCUGAAAGAUUUAGAACUUUUAACCCAGACAUGUGCUUAAAAAAAGAUUCUGAAAUCCUUUCUAAGCCACAAUGUUCCAAAAUCAAAGUUGAUAAAUGAGGCCAUCUAGGUGAUAUGUGAGGAGGAAUUUCUAAUUUAAAAGUUUCCAUCAAGGAAACUUUCUCAACACUCACUGUCCAUUCUUGCUCACUUGGGAAUUCUUUCAAUGGCAUACCUGCUUUUCCCAUGAACUGAUGACCUGCAAUAUACAACGCCAUGUCCCUCAAAACAUCAUGCAUCUUAACUCCAUCAUUAUCAAUAAGAAAUGUAGCCCUCUCUAAUAGGCAAUUACUUUCAAGCUUAUUUAAAAUGCUAUAACCUCUAUGAUGCAUUGCUUCUUUGGUCUGUAAGCCAUCAAGGAGUCCCUCAUCUAUCCAAUUUUCAAUUAAUUCCACUUUUCUAAUUAUAUAAUCUUCAGGAUAUAGGGAGCAAUAUAAGAAACAAUUUUGGAUUUUUGGAUCUCUCAAAUGGUCAUAACUGAACUUCAAAGGCUCAUAUACUUCGAUAUCCAAUUCUUUCACACUUUCCACACGCUCUUCUAAUUCAAUUAGUGCAUUCUUCCACUCACAAAAAUCAUCUACCUCUUUCAUGCUACCGGCUAUUGUCACAAUACUAAGUGGUAAACCGCCACAUUUCUCAACAAUUUUGUCGACAAUGUCCUUUAAAUUUUGAUCUUGUACAACUCUACGCCCCACGUGAUCUAAGAAUAAGUUCAUGGACUCAUUCUUUGGAAGCAGUUGCACUUUGACCACCUCACAACCCAUAGACUUACAGACCUCAAUCGAUCUGCUAGUGAGUACAACUUUCCUUCCCAUACCUAAUGUUGGUUCAAGGAUUCCCAAAUCUAAUAGAGAAAAUCGUUUCCAAACAUCAUCUAAGAUCAACACAUAUCUCUUUUCCUCCAAAAUAUCCUUUAAUUUUGCAGCUCGUUGCAAUACAUCCGUUGGAAGAGCUUGUUUCAAAGAAUUUGCAAUAUCUUCUUGCAAUUUGAAAAUAUUCAAUUCUUUUGAUACGGUGACCCAUAUCACUUGAUCAAACAGAUUAUCCUUCAACAAUUGAUUAUUGAUAUGCUUCAUAAUGGUAGUUUUCCCUAUGCCACCCAUUCCACAUACUCCAAUCAUUCUAACCUUAUCACCCAUCAAAUACUUCCAAAUUUGUUCUUUUACAUCGAUUUCACCUUCUAGAUUUGGUGUUAGUAAUGUCACCCCAGUGGCUGGAGGCCCAUCAACUGCCACACCAUCAGGGAAACUACCUUGUUGGUAAAUUUUGUUUACCUUUUCAAUAUUUUCGCAAACAAAACUUCCUAGAUGACCACGUGACAAGAAUGAAACAGAACGGAACUCCUCUUCGAUGGUUUUCACUUCAUUGCCUACAUUUUCUACAUCUUUGAGCCAGUUCGCCACUUCUUUCUUCAUCUUUUUCCCACAACGUUCCUCUGCUUCCAUUUUUAAUUCAAGGUCUCGCUUUCGAGAAUUUAGACUAUUUACAUUUCCUCGAAGCUCAUUCAUAUAAUCUUCAAGUUUCCGAUGAUGAUUUAUGUAUGGACCCCCAAAGCUCCUUAUCACUUCAACAAAUGACAAUAUCCAAUCCAUAUUAUAAGCUCACUGCAAUUUAAAAACCCAACGUAUGUUAAGAUUCUUGCUUCACUUGUUAUGUUUGAGUAUAACAAAGAUAAAAUUGUUAAUGAAGCUUUGUUUCAAUGGUAAGGAAGAUGUGUAAGUUCGAUAUUACUUUUAUGCUAGUUAUUUAUUUAUUUAUUUUAUUGAUAAUUUGUUCAUUAUUUUUUACACUGAACGUAAUCAUUUGUUUUAUUAUGACUGUAAUUUGUACUUGUUCAUGUAAUAUAAAAAAAUAUAUAUAUAAAAAAGCAUUUUUGUUUUUAACUAAAAUUCUGAAUUUCUGGUGUUUGAUUAAUUAGUAAUGAGUUGUUUAAUUACUAUAUUUCUUAAAUUCUGUUUUAGAAUAUCGGGUGAAGCAUCUGUAAUACUUUUAUAAACCAUUACCAAAUGUUUUAUUCCUUCUACCUUAUUUUUUAUAUUUUCCUUCAAAAUUUCCUUAAUAUUCCACUUUCAAGCAAAACUAAGUAAAUAUAAACCAUAAAUAAUUAAUAAAUGAUUUAUUUUUCUUUCUCCCCUGUUGAUAACUAUCAAAAAUUCUUGGAUAUUAAUUACAUCAUCAAUAAAAGGAGGGAUAAAGAAGAAACACUAAUUUUCAAUAAAGAUAAACAUCAAAGGCACUAAAGAAUAUUAAUUAAUAUUUUUUUGAACAGUUCUAAAAAAUUUCAAUUAUGGAUUAAUAUAAUCUAAAUAUAAGUAAGGAAGUUUGUGAAAACAACAAUAUAUCCCACAAAGACAUUAAGAAAUAAUUGCAGGAAUAAAUUGUGAGAGUAAUGACCUUCAGGAUAUAUACCUGGCUUGUUCUUCAAAUUAUUCGGAAAGAUGAAACCCAAAGGUCAGUUAAAUGAUCCACAAACCUCCUUGUCUCUUUGUUAAGCACAACCUUCUUAGGCAGAAGAAAGAAGCUGGCAUAAAAUUAACAAGGAAAAUUAGUAGUGUUAAUAAAAGUGAAAAUCUAAUGUGGUAUAGUCUUCAGAGUUAUUUGCCUAAAUAAGAAAAUAGAGGACACAAAACAAAGAACCAAAAUAAUUAAGUGGAAGGAAAGAUGAUGAAUUUAAGAUUCCAGAAAACAUGAACCCAAAUCUAUAUUAAACAGUUUAAUUACCUGGUCAAGUGAGGUAGAUGAGGUGGUACUUGUAUCCUUAGAGGGUCUUAAGUCUGUGAAAGCAGGAAACUAAGAUCUCUGUUAAAUUUGUGAAGAAAACAGCAACAAGCAGAUCUCCUCCCAAACUAUUAUCUAUGAGAAGAAAAUGAAUAAUGAAGCACAUGAAUUAUUGAAAAGUGGACAAGGUAAAUAUUUAUGUGGAAACUAAAAUAAAUGCCCAACUUGUGUUGGAAGGUAUGGUAAGAUGAAUUUAUGUCAUAAGUUAAGAUUCUGAUUAAUUACUGCUACCAAAGAUAAACAUAAAUCACACAAAUAUAAACAGUUUACCUGGUUCACGGAGACAGUGAACUGAUUCUUCUGUCGUUAGAAGGUCUUUGUUAAAUUUGAGAAGCAAGCACACUCAGGAAAUAUAGCAGCAAUAAGCAGAUGAUCUCCGUGAGAAGAGAAUCGAUGAAUUGUGAAGCUAAAAGAAUUAAGAGCUGGCAAGUCAAUGCAAAGUCGUCGCACAAAUUGUACAUUCACUUUCCUUGAAGUUGUUUCACAGUAAUGCAAAUGUAAAUUCACUUUCCUUGAAGUUGUUUCACGGUAAUGCAAAUGUGAAUAGAAGAAAAACUGACAAAGUAGGACUGAAUUAUGGGGCCACUUGUCCUACUUUCCACUCCUUCAUUAUUGUCCUUCUUGUCUUCUGUUUGGCAAUAAUGCAAGUAUGAAUUUAACAGAUGCCCUGGAUUAAGAAACUUAUAACUUUAAUAGAAGUUUAUAAUUUAAGAAGUGAAUUAGUCUAACCAAAAAACUGAACAAUUAUUUUUUUGUUGCUGAUAACAAAGGUUUGAUUAUACACAGAAUGUAAUAAGUUAUGAUCUCCUAAAUUUAGUCCAUCUUAUAAGUGCUUGAAUUCAUAUAUACUAAUGUCCUCAGUCUUGAAUUCUUUUCUUAUUGCUGAUAACAAUGGUUUACUUAUGUUCAGAAUGAAAUAGGUUAUGAUCUCUUAAAUGGAGUCCAUUUUAUAAGGAGACAGGAAAGAAAGAGCCCUGUGUUUGAUGGCAGUGAGGCAACCAGAUUGAUUUUCCACUAAUUAGCCACAUCAGAUUACUAUGUAUAGCCACUAAGUCAAGUGAAGCAACGAUCUCCUAUCAAGAAAAUAACAAACAGCACAUCUCCUGGCAAAUUAACUCAUCUAUAAUGACAAGAGAAUGAAUUAAUAAUUUAAAAGUGGGCAAGUCAAUGCAAGUCAUGAUGUUGGUUUCGGGGUCACUUCCCUUAAAGCUGCUUUAAAAUAAAGCAAAUAGGAAUCGAAUAAAAGAUGAUAACGUGAGAGUGAAUACUGCUUCAUAUUUCUUAAAGACACAAUCAUGUAAGCUAUUUCGUUCAGUGCCUGGAUCAUAUGUAUGCACAUGUGCAUGCAUAGGACCAACUUUAAAACGAGCCCUGUCAAUCAUAGAUUAUAUCAUUCGUGAUAUAAUCUGAUGAAUAACAGGUGAUAUAAUCUGAUGAAUAACAGGUCAUUGCCAAUAUCACAAGAGUUAUUGAUAAAAACUAAAACUUGGGAAAUGUUGACAAGUAUUUGUAUAUUUAUACUAUACACAGAAAAGACUCAAGAAGGUCUUUGUUAAAUUUGAGAAACAAGCACAGUCAAGAAAAAUAGCGGCAAUAGCAACAAGCAGAUGAUUUCAGUGAGAAGAGAAUCCAAUAAUUAUGAAGCAAUAAGAAUUACAAGUCAGCAACUCAAUGCAAAGUCGUCGCAGAAGCUGUAAAGUAACUUCCCUUGAAGCUGUUUCACAAUACUGCAAAUGUGAAUUGAAGAAAAACUGACAAAGUAGGACUGAAUUAUGGGGCCUACUCUCCUCCAUCAUUGUCCUUCUUGACUUCUGUCGCGAUAAAGAAAAUAUGAAUUGAACAAAAACUGACAGACUAGUAUUAUUGUCCUCGCAACUUUCUUUCACAAGGGCACCCAUUUUUAUGUCCUAAGGCAAAGACCAAAAUUAUCUGGGAACAAUCAAAGAAAGUUGUAUGUCCUUUGCUACUUGCUAGCUAUCUUGACUAAUAUUGUAUGUAACACUUAUUAUUUUCUAUAAAUUUUUACAUAAUAACAAAUUUGAUGUAAAGUUCAUUAGUUAAUGGUACGUUAAUUCACUUGAUCGAUAACUAAUUAAAAUGUGAAAAGUGUAAUUUUAUUAAUUCCGUAGAAUUAUUUUAGUGAAGUUUCUAAGUAUAUCAUCUAAUCCGGUAUCUAGCAUCAUUAUUUCUACUUUUUUUUUUCCUUUUGUAUAAGUAUAUCGAUAACCAACAAUUAUUUUCAGGGUUGUUUAACAUACUAUGGCCACUGUCAUGCAUUGCUAUGUCUAGUCUAUAAUUCAUGGAGGAAUCCCUCCUCGGUUCAUUUCUCUAUUUUACUCUAUUCUUUCAAUUUUGCAGUCUUCAUGAUAUAAGAAGCAAUAGAAAAAAUAAUUUUGGAAUUUUGAGUCUUCCAAAUGAUCAAAAUUACACACACUACAACAAAUUUGACUUAAAACAGCACAUUUUAUAAAUGUGUUACUAAAAAUAUUUUUAAUAACACUUUUUUUAUGUUUUUUAGAACAGCUUUUUAGAUCUAAUUUUACUAUAUACAUUUUUAGAUGCAUUAUCAAUAAAAUGUAACAAUAGAAAUUAUAUACACUAACAAAUGUUGCAUUUUACUGUACAAAAAAUAUAUCGUCCAAACAAGUGUGGUUAAAACUUAAUUUUUUUGCUAUUACAUCAAACACUCAAAUAUUUCAACAUCUUAUCUUCUCACACUUUUGACCCGUUAAUUCAUUUAAUGCAUCCUUCCACUCACAAAUAUAUGUCAUUUACUCCAUGCUACCUAAUAUUGUCAGAAUGGCGUGUCUUUGCCAAAUACUUCUAAUAGGCCCUAACUGAUUAGGCAAAACAUAUCUUCAAAUUGGAAUAAUUAAGGGAUUGGACUUAUCUACAAGAACCAACAUCUGAAGUUGCAAGGAAUAUAAUCUUACUCCAAAAUGGAAUUUGUAAUUAUAGAGUCUUACAAAUGCUAAUUACAUAGCACAAAUUAAUGAUCAGAUAAUGCAGUCUUCCUAGAUGGAUGAUUUGAAUAUGAGAAUUAUGAGCUGAGUACAGUGGAGAUUUUUCCUCACAUUUUUCUAUAAUAUUAUUUAUGAGCAGCCUUAGCUUCAUAUAUUAUCAAUUAGUGCAUGGGAAGCUUUGAAGAACAUUAUGAGACAAUUAGUAAGUAUUCAUAACUAUAUAGAAAAGAAAGGAUAGCUUCUAUAUGAAGCAUUUUGCUUGCAAAAUACAUGCAGGGUGCCACAUGAUUGGAUAUUUCAGUUGUAUGGAUAUUUGAAGUCCUAGGAUAGCAAUUGUUUGGGAAGAAAGAAUUUCUGAGAAACUUUCCUCAAUGUUGACAGGGACUUUUCAUAUCAUCUGUUAUGACAAUUUGACUUCCACUAACCCUCACCACUUUCCCCAUUUUUUUGGGUAAUAAAAAGAAGUUGAUUUUUUCCAACUUAAAUUGAGGUAUUUGACAGGCUACUGAUGAUCUAAAAGACUUCACUAUCCAAUUGCAUGGGCCUCAGGGCACAAUUUGAACAUCAAAUACAAAAUUCAACCUGGUUGAGCUCCCAACUGUGUAAAGAAAAAAUCAAUUAAAUAUUGUUCAAUUCUUGCUUGUAACGUCUGCAGAUUGUAUAUGAGACUGAUGGAGUAAUAAAUAUGUCUAACCCAGAGAAAUCAUGGAUUAAUCAACUCGUUCUUUUAAAAGGGAAGGCAUCACAUUAGUUCAUCUACUAACUAAACCUUUACAAGCGGAAUAUUGGAUUAAAGUUAAAACAAGGGAUCUCUCUUUGAUAUAAACUAGUCCUAAAGAAUUUAUAGGAUAAUUGAGAGAUUGAAUACUGAAAUUGAAGAAGUCCAAACUUUUGUUUGGCAUAUAUUCAUAAACCAGCAUCUUUUCCUCUCCUUCAAUGCAACAUCCCAGGAGCUUUACAAGAUUUCGAUGUUGAAGCUUGGCAAUUAGUGCUACUUCAUUUUUGAACUCAGUUAAACCUUGUCCAGAGCUUCUUGAAAGCCUCUUCACAGCGAUCUCUUGUCCAUCUACCAGGUUACCCUGAAAAAAAUGUACUUUAAAGAGUUGUAACUUUGUUCUAAACAUACUUCAUACUUUGUCUUCUGAUCAAUUUCACCAGAAUGUUGCAAAUUUACCCUGUAUGCAUGCCCAAAACCACCUUGUCCUAGUUUGUUGUCAAUGGAGAAAUCAUUGCUUGCUUCGGAUACUAAUGAUAAGUCGAAUAACUGGACUUCUGAGUCUUCGCUUUGCCCUUCAGUGCUCCUGUCCUUUAUCACAUGGUUUUCUCUAGCCCCUGAAACAUUUUAGUACAUACUAACAUUAGCCAUAGAAGGCUAUAUCAUGUUGGUCAAUUGUAUUUCUGAACAGACUAGGGAAGUUGGUAAUUAGUAUUCUAAAACAUAGUGAAAACAUGAUUUGUGAAAGCAAAUGGAUCAGAUAGUGUUACCUUAUAAACAGCUCCAAAACCACCUUCCCCUGGCUUGUUGUCCAUAGAAAAGCUAUGAGUAGCAAGCGCAAAUAUUGCAAGCUCCAAGUCUUCAUCCAGGCCUUGAUUUUCUGAAUCAUUUUCCUUAUUGUUUUCUGUUUCUCUGAAAUAGUAGUCAAAAUAGGCUUUUUAUUCACCAUAAAAUAUGCAUUCUAAUUGAGCUAGAUAACUGAACAUAAAACUCAUUUUUCACACCAAUAAGCAUUGAAAACUACUUAUUUUUUGAGAAAAAAAAAACAUUAUUCCAAUGAACUGGCAAACAAUCUAAUUUACUUCUUUUGAAGAAACUGCAUGUGGAUAAGUGGAUUAGGUAGCAUCACUAUUAACAAGGUAAUUUUUUUUGUUUAUUUAGCUAAGGAAUUGAAUGACAUAUUUGUGAAGGAUAUGUCAAAAUUACCUUUCAACUUUCUGCGGACUCUGUAAAUGUAAUAACUGAUUAUAAACAGCCCCAAAAGUGCAACACAGCGGUUUUGCAAUAGAUGCAACAAGCUUCAACCUUGGCUUAUCGCAUCCAAGCUUGGCUUUCUGCAUUCCAUGUGUAGCCUUGUAUCAUCAGUUUGGUUAGGAGCAAGUCCUGUGAUCAAUGAUUUCUAUUUGAGACAUUUUGGAUGGUUGACAUAUAAAAUACAAACACCAGGUGGGUUGAUCAUGCAUUGUUUUUAUGAGAUGAUGUGAUUGACUGACUCUUGAUCAAUGAACUGUACACAAAGUGCAGCAGAAAACAAUUUAUAAACAUUGAGAUUCCAGAUAAUUACUUGUAUUGAAUAAUUUCCAAUUCAUCAACCAUUUCACACCAGUAGACAUUUUCAUUAAAAGCACAAGGCACAAGCAUCAGCUGGGAAUGCAAUUACUUGAUUAUUAAAACAUAACUCAAAGCAUAGUCUUACGAACAGUAUAUAAACAGAGUUUGUAGCAUGGGAGAUGUGAGGAUACAACUCCCUAACCAACCUUUAACAUCGAUAUGGUUAUUUCAUUCUACAUGCCCACAGCAAAUGGAAAAGGAAACAAUAAUGUCUAAUCAAUCUUACUUGUUCAACAAGGAUUUGAAGGAUAACAGCUAAAUCAAUAAAUUGGCGUUGAAUUAAGUUAUAAGAUUUUGAUCACAAACAGAGGAAGUCCUCUCAUAAAUGAAUCAAACAAUAUUUAUGGCAAGUGAGGCAUGCUUGGUGCUGUUAAAGAUUUGCUUAUGAUUGAAUAAUCCUAUUAACUACUAACUUGUUCAUAAUGUUUUUAAACUAGCAUUUUUUAAAUAAUGCUAGUUUAAAAUAUGACCAUAUAUAUAUAUAUAAGAAAAAGAAUACUAUGGACCCUAAAUAUUACUUUAAUCAUUUUAUUAUAUCUUUUAACAUUUUAAUUCAUAAUAAUUUAAAGAUUUUAUUUACGUGUUAGAGUUCUCUUAUUAUUUUAUUUAUGUAUAUAGAUUUUUUUUCUUUUUAAAUUUGAAAAAAAUUUCAAACCUGGCUUGUAAUAUGUCAGUGAAAAAGAAAAUAAAGGGAUGUAGGCAAAGAGCUUAAUUAACUCUUUUGAAGAAACUGCAUGUGGAUUUGCUAGCAUCAAUAUUAACAAAGUAAUUAUUUUUUUGUUUAUUUAGCAAAGAAGCAAAAUAAGCAUAUUUGUUAAGGGUAUAUCAAAGUUACCGUUCAACUUUGCAUUGCCUCUGUAAAGGUAAUGACCGACUGUAUACAACCCCGAAAGCACAGCAUAGUGGUGUUGCAAUUACUGCAGGAAGUUUUAUCCUAGGCUUAUCUUUCAAUUCUGUAUGGCGAAAUUUGAUAAGGAAAAGCAUACAUGAACAAAAAUGAAAAAAGCAGCGAAAACAAGAGAAAAUGCAGACUCAUACCUGAUUCUGAAGCAGACACUCUUAACAUAUAGAUCCUGCCCUUUUGAUUCAAAUUGUCUGCAAUCAAUCAGAUUAUCAAACCAAAGGGCCCAACCACUACCUCUUCCUCUAUUAUCUGAACUAGUGUAUGCCAUAUAGGAAUAGUUCUGUAGAUACUUAGCCCUGCAUCCCUUGAGAUUCAUAGUUUUAGUCACCCAAGAAUGUGUAGCAUCUGGCAUUUUUAAAUCCUUUAAAUCUAAUAAAUCCAUCUCUGCUUUGGCAGUUGAAUGGCUUGUUGUGCUUACACCCUUGGCACCAGUCUGAUGAGUUCUGUCUUUUAGGGAAUUCAGGCUUAAACAUCAGCUUUCAGGGAAUUAAGGCUUGAAUCCUUUAAAAAGUGGAAGCUGAGCACCAUCACAAUUCCCUUUUGAACCACAAAGUCCAUAUCUAUCAAAGUAGUCUCUUGAAGCAAAUGACAGAAGCAUCCAAGCUUGCUUUCUGCAUUUCAUGUGUAGUCCUGUGAUCAAUGAUUUCUAUUUGAGACACUUUGGAUGGUUGACAUAUCAAAUAGAAAUGCCAGGUGGGUAGAUCAUGCGUUGUUUUUAUAAGAUGAUGUGAUUGACUGACUUUUGAUGAAUGAAGCAUACACAAAGUGCAGCAGAAAACAAAUUAUAAACAUUGAGCUUCCAGAUAAUUUGUAUUUCUCAAUAAUAUGAAGCUUAUUCCUCUAAUCAUUCUCUUCAUUGGACGAACAUAACUUCAAUGACUUACUUGUAUUAAAUGAUUUCCAAUUCAUAAACCAUUUGAGACUUUUUUUUCUCACAUCUGAUAGGUUGCAGGAUAGUCCCAAGAAUUGAUCACCAAGUUCAACAGGGUGCCUUCCUUCCUCCCAUAAUCUCCGAGCCUGCAGCAAAUUGAAAACCUUUUAGUCAUUUUAUUAUAUCUUUCAACAUUUUAAUUCAUAAUAAUCGAAGUAUUUUAUUCAAGCGUUAGAGUUUUAUUUAUAGUAGUAAUUAAUUAUUAUUAUUAUUUUUGUAGAUAGAGUGUGUUUUUUUUUCUUUCAAAAUUUGAAAAAAAUUAAAACCAAGUUUGAAAAAUGUGAGUGAAAAUGAAAAUAAAGGAAAGAGAUGGGCAGGUGUAAUAGGAGGGGAUGUAGGAGGUGUUAGAUGGCAAUUGGUGGAGAAAUGCAGAUUGAAGGGUGUUGAGUUUUAGAUUUUGGUAUUAUUCAUAAAACUAAAGACUUGGUUUUGUUUUGAUAUUAAAAAAAAGUAAUUAUUUAGCAAAUGAGAAAUUAAGAGAUAAAAACUCACAAUUAAUGUUUGUGGUUCUUAACAAGAAGCAAGAGCCUUAUAGCCACAUUUAAUCAAACACCUCUUCUCCAUCUCACUCUACCAAUCAAAAUAUCGAAGAAAGGGAGAAAGGACAUUCUUAGUGUGCUAUCCAACAACCCACAUCUGAUGUGAAUGCGAUUGUUAAGACCUAUAUAACAAUUCAAGUUCACCAUUACUAGCAACUUGAGCUUAAACUUUUGAGGGCUACGUGGUUUAGGCCCAAAAAGUUACUAGGCCAAUGGUUGGACUUGGGUCGUUACAAAUGGUAUCAGAACUUGCACCAGUCCGAUGUGAACUUUCACAUUGCUCUGGUGAGAUCUUGGUCCCGUGGAUGUGAUGUGUGGCCUUGAUGAGGACAUCAAGGAUUUGAGUGGGUGGGAUUGUGAUAUCCAACAUCCUACAUCUGAUGUGAAUGUGAUUGUUAAGACCUAUAUAACAAUCCAAGUCCACCAUGGACUUGGGUCGUUACACUUAGCAUCAAGUUGAUCCCAUUCCACUGAUUCCCACCAUUCUCUCGGGCCUAUUCUAAUAUAUUCUAGAGAAGGAGGAGAUGGUUUCCCAUUUUCAACAAGGGGAAGAGACAAAGGGAUCCUCUUUACUUCUGGACAUCUCUCUAUUUGAAGAUAUUGGAGAGAAUCUGCAGGAAUCAUAAGUCCACCACUGUAAAUGCUUUUCAGUUUUGGUAAAUUUCCCAAGAUUAAUGAUUUUAAUUUGGGAAGAAUAAAUGUUGUUCCUUCUUCUUUGUGAUUUUCUUCUAACGCUAUUAUUUCCUCCAUUUCUUCACAACAUUCAACGAAAAUUUUCUCUAAGUUUGGGAGGCCUUGCAACUGCUCAACUGGAAACAACUUCUUCAUCUUCGAACAAAAGCUCAUCAUCAAUAAUUUAAGAGAAGAGAAGAAGGUAGGUGGUGUUGGAGCAUGAGAGGUAGAUUCAAUUUCAACCGCUACUCCUACUCGUACUCUCACAACUUCACACAAGUUUAGCAAGUCAAGUAGUUGUAGCACCUCAAUGUUGUGAAGUGCGUUGCAAGACGGUAAUGACAAGUCAACCACACACUCCAUCCCUUCACACUCCGAAAUUUGACAUUUCUUCAAGUCAGGUGCCUUACGAAACAAAGGAAUGUGGCUUAAACAUUUGAAAUCAUUACACCUCGCAAAACAAAAAGUAUGAAGGUCAUUUGGGAGCAUUAUUUCAUCACACCUCUCUAUCUCCAAAUUUGAGACAUCAACCAUUUUCUCAAUUUCUUUGAAAUAUGGGGAAUGCAUAAUAUGAAUAUUACUAGGUGGUCCCACUUGAAAAAUGAAAGACAUAGGCCAUUUACCUUGUGUAGACUCUGCAUAUUUCUUAAACUCUUGCAUGUCACAAAUGAACAUAAAACACACUCAAGCUUCCUCAAUUUGCCUACUUCUUCCCCCCUUAAAUUUAACUGUACUAGUAAGCAUUGCAGAUGAGAAAUCUUCAGCAAUAUUCCCAUUGGUAGCUCCUUUAGAUCGCUUGACCGUAGACCAAAAUAUCUAAGGUUUUGUAACAUUUCUAUACCCUGAGGUAACUCUUCAAUUUUUGUAUUCCAAAGGUCCAAGUUUCUCAGUGCUUUGAGCUUUGCUAAUGAAGGCACAUAUUCUAACCUGAGACAAUAAGCAAGCAUCAAUGCAUUGAGAUUUUUCAAGUUAGAGAUGGAAUUAGGUAAAUCCACAAUCUCAUGAUUACGAGAAAGAUCUAGAACUUUUAGCCCAGGCAUGUGCUUAAAGAAAGAUUCUGGAAUUCUUUUUAAGCCACAUUGUUGCAAUAUCAAAGUUGACAAAUGAGGACAUUCGGGUGAUAUGUGAGGAGGGAUUUCUAUUAAUUUUGAAUUUUGCAUCAAAGAAACCUUUUCAACACUCACUGUCCAUUCUUGCUCACUUGGUAGUUCCUCCAACUGCACAUUGGCUUUUACUAUGAACUGAUGACCUUUAAUAUACAAUGCCAGGUCUCUCAAAACAUUAUGCAUCUUAACUCCUUUGUCAUUCCAAGUUGUAGCCCUUUCUAGCAAGCAAUUAUUUUGAAGCUUAUUUAAAAUGCUAUGGCCUCUAUCAUGCACUUCUUGUCUAGUCCUUAAGCCAUCAAGGAGUCCUUCAUCUAUCCAAUUUUCAAUUAAGUCAACUUCUUCAAUCACAAAAUCUUCAGGAUAUAAGGAGCAAUAUGAGAAACAAUUUUGAAUUUUUGGAUCUUUCAAAUAGUCAUAACUGAACUUCAAACGCUCAAAUAUUUCAACAUCUGAUCCUUUCACACUUUUCACACGCUCUUCUAAUUCAGUUAAUGCAUUUCUCCACUCACAAAUAUCAUUUACCCCCUUCAUGCUUCCAGCUAUUGUGACAAUGUUAAGUGGUAAACUGCCACAUUACUCAACAAUUUUGUUGACAAUGUCUUUUAAAUUUUGAUCUUGUACAACACUAUGCCCCACAUGUUUUAAGAAUAAGUUCGUGGACUCUGUCUUUGAAAGCGGUUGCACUUUGAUCACCUUACAAUCCAUAGAUUGAUAGACCUUAAUCGAUCUGCUAGUGAGUACAACUUUCCUCCCCAUAUCUAUUAUUGGUUCAGGGAUACCCACAUCCAAUAGAGAAAACCGUUUCCAAACAUCGUCUAAGAUCAAAACAUAUCUCUUUCCCUCCAAAAUAUCUUUUAAUGCUGAUGCUCGUUGCAAUUCAUCAUCUUUUAAAAGAGAUUGUUUCAAAGAAUCUGCAAUAUCUUUUUGCAAUCUAAAAAUAUUCAAUUCUUUUGAUACAGUGACCUAUAUCACUUUAUCAAAGUUCUCACUUUCCUUUAACAAUCGAUUGUUGAUAUGCUUCAUGAUGGUAGUUUUCCCUAUACCACCCAUUCCACAUACUCCAAUCAUUCCAACCUUAUUACCCAUCAAAUACUCCCAAAUUUGUUCUUUUACAUCGAUUUCACCUUCUAGAUUUAGUGUUGGUAACAUCACCCCGGUGGUUGGAGGCCCAUCAACUGCCACACCGUCGGGGAAACUACCUUUUUGGUGAAUUUCCUCUACCUUUUCAAUCAUUCGGCAAACAAAUUUUCCAAGACGACCACGUAAGAAGCAUGAAAUAGCAUGGAACUUGGAUUCAAUCUUUUCCAUUUCAGUGUUUACCUUUUCUACAGCUUCAAACAAGUACUCCACUUCUUCCCUCACCACUUUUCUGUGACGAAGCUCCUCUUCCUUUCUUGAUAUGAGGUCUCUUUUUUGGAUAUUUAAAACAUUCACUUUUUCUCGAAGAUCAUUCAUAUGUUCUUCAAGUUUUCGUUGAUGGUGUAUAUAUGUACAGGUUGGACCACCAAAGCACUUUAUCACUUCAAAAAUUGGCCCUAUAAGCUCCAUAUAAGCUAUUCCCUAGAGAUUAAAAACCAAGAUAUAUUAGAUCUCCAUAUGACAUAAGCUACUCCGUCCCUCCCUAAACUACAAUUCUAUAUUUUUCAUAUAAUAUAGAAUAUGUUAGAAAAAAAUGUUACUAAUUAAAAUUUUUUUACCAAUUCUUAAGAAAAAACAUAAUAUUUUUGAAAACAUUAUUAAAAACAAGAAGUUUUUGUUUCAUCAUCUUUGAGUAUAAUAUUUACAUUUCCAACAAUAUUUAUAUCUAGAUGAAUGUAUUCAUUUUUCCCCUUAAAAAACCAUCGCAAAUUCUUGAAUAUAUUAUAUCUAUAUGGUUCCUAGUUUUGAUCAUUACAACAUUAAUAAAAGGAUGAUGAGAAUGGAGAAAUCAAUUUACUAUAAAUAUAUAAAUGACAAAAUUUUUUAUAAAAAAAGGAAUCCAUUUAAAGUUGAUAACUUGCGUUUCUAACAUGUAUACAUAUUAAAUAAAUGUACCUGUGAAAGAAUCACAGGUACUAGACGAAAAGUAUCCAGUUCUUUAAUAUAUUUAUUUAAAUUGUAUUAUUCUGUAUGACAGAUUCUCCUUUCAAGUAUUCUGUUAUAAACUUUUGAAAUUAAUCUGAAUUUAUAAUUUACAAAGAGAAAAUUAUGUACCCUAGUCUUGAAAUCUUUCCUUGUUGCCGAUAUAGAAAGAUUUGACAAUGUACAUAAUGACAUGAAGUGCCCUGUUUUUUGAUGGAGCUUUAGCAUCAAACUUCAAUUAGCUGAGUUAACCAGAUUGUUAGUUCCUUGAUUGAUUUUCCAAUUAACGAGCCAUAUCAGAAUAUUAGACUUGAGAAAUGGAAUUUUGACUUCUAAGGUCCUAAAAAAGAUUAAUUCACAAAAUACAUAAAAAUAAAAUGUACAAGAUGACGAUGAAAAUCAUUUGUGUAAAGAUAUUGAUGCUGUAUGACAUAUAAUUUUGCUUUUGGUCAAAUAUUGAAAUAUCGUAAGGAACAACGCGUUGAGCUUCCAACAAUGUGUCAGUCAUUUCAUUGGUUGAAGAAGACUUUAAAUGUUUUAACCCCAAAUUACUAUUCAUAACACGUUUUCAUUAAAUAUAUCAGAGAUCAGCUUUUUUCGUUUUGUCCCAAUUUUCUUGGUUUUCACUUUUCAGUGAAUUAAAGACCUAAAAAAUCUUUGUCAUCAAUGGAUAACAUCAUUGGUGAUUACAUUCGAGCCUUCUAUUAAGUUUAUGUAGCAAAUACAAAUAAGUAAUGGCUUAUCAUGCAUUUUUAGUUUUGUUAUGAUGUGAGGAUUAUAUGAGUCUUCCUCAAUGAAACAUCUGAAAAAGUGCAUGAGAAAAAAAUCAAAACAAUUUACAACUGAUGAGAUUGCACAUUACUCUUUUUUCUGAUUUAUAUGAAGCUUCAGUGCAAUCAUCUUGUCAAUUCUUUGUGAGACAACUAUAGAUAACAGUACCCCCAAAAAGGCACUUGCAGGGUGCUAAGCUUAAACUGGGACUGAACCGUUGGUAUCAAUGCAUAAGGUACAAAACAUACUGAUCAUCCACAGCAUCUAAUAAUGGCUUGGAGAUGAAAGAGUUAAGUAUAUAAUAAUCUGAAAAUUAUAUUUGUUAAUUUUUGUUAAUUGUUAAGUUUAUUUAAAAAUUGAGAUUAUUAUCAUUAUUAAAUUAUUUAUAAUUAUGCUAGUUAAUUCUUUUAAGUAAAUUAUUAAAAAUGAUUCCUUUGAAUAAUUUUCAGAAUUUAUUUAUAUAAUUUUCAUAUAAAUUUUUUCCAUUAAGUUGUUUUAUAUUUUUAGCAAACGUUGGACUUCUCGUUUGAAUGUUUUAUAGACAUUAUCUUCAACUCUUCGCCUCCUCAAACGCCAAAAUACAAACUCAGCCACUGCAUAUAACCACUGCAGAACAUUAUCAAAAGCAAUAAAUAUGUGAGGAUUUGUAGACAUUAUGAAAAUAAAGUGACAUUUACUAAGUACCAACCACUCUUUUUCCCAUCAGUUUGGUCUCCUCCAAAAGUUCUAGCCAGUCCAAAACCUGAAAUUUUUGGAUUCAUAUCACUACCAAUCACAACGUUACUAGCUUUGAGAUCUCUAUAAAUAAAAAAAAACUUUCGAUUUGCUAGCUUUACUAUUAACAAAGUAAUUUUUUUUUUGUUUAUUUAGCAAAGGAACGAAAUAAGCAUAAUUAUGAAGGAUAUAUCAAAGUUACCAUUCAACUUUGCACGACCUCUGUAAAGGAAAUGACUGACGCUAAACGGCCCGAAAAGCACAACACAGUGGUGUUGCAAUUAAUGCAGGAAGUUUUAUCCUAGGCUUAUCUUUCAAUUUUGUAUGAUGAAAUUCGAUAAAGAAAAGCAUACAUGAAGAAACACAAAAAAAGCUGCGAAAUCAAGAAAAAAUGUAGACUCAUACCUGAUUCUGAAGCAGACACUUUAACAUAUAGAUCCUGCCCUUUUGAUUGAAAUUGUUUGUAAUCAAUCAAAUGAUGAAACCAAAGGUCCCAACCACUGCCUCUUCCUCUAUUAUCUGAACUAGUGUAUGCCAUAUAGGAAUAGUUCUGUAGAUACUUAACCCUGCAUCCCUUGAGAUUCAUAGUUUUAGUCACCCAAGAAUGUGUAGCAUCUGGCAUUUUCAAAUUUCUUAAAUCUGAUAAAUCCAUCUCUGCUUUGGCAGUUGAAUGGCUUAUUGUGCUUACACCCUUGGGACCAGUCUUAUGAGUUCUAUCCUUCAGGGAAUUCAGGCUUAAACAUCAUCUUUCAGGGAAUUAAAGCUUGAAUCCUUUAAAAAGUGGAAGCUGAGUACCAUCACAAUUCCCUUUUGAACCACAAAGUCCAUAUCUGUCAAAGUAGUCUCUCGGAGCAAAUGAGGAAAGCAUCCAAGCUUGCUUUCUGCAUUUCAUGUGUAGUUAUGUUAUCAAUUAUUUCCAUUUGAGACACUAUGGAUGGUUGACACAUAAAAUAGAAAGACCAGGCUGGUCGAUCAUCCGUUGCUUUUAUAAGAUGAUGUGGUUGACUGACUUUUGAUGAAUGAAGUAUACACAAAGUGCAGCAGAAAACAAAUUAUAAACGUUGAGGUUCCAGAUAAUUCGUAUUUCUCAAUAAUAUGAAGCUUAUUCGUCUAAGCAUAAUAUAUAUAUUUAGAGUAACCACACUAAUCAUAUCAACUUAAACUUACUCAUAAUUUGCAUGCAACAUAAAAUCACCAAAUCUUAUAUAGAUAAUUUAAACUAUUAAUCUUGUUUAAUUAUAUAUGUAUUCAUCAUUUGAAGUGCUUUAAAAUAUUAAUCAUGAUUAAUUUCAAUAUCUUGGUAUUGAUACAUCACUUCCCAAAUAUGCUUUCCUUUUUUCUUUUUUUCCAUAUAUAGACACUCUUUAAUUAGGAGAUUGUAGCCAGCUAGAUACCAUUGUUGCCAGUCCAAGAGGUGACACUUUGGAGGUUGAAUAGCAUUUUAUUUUCGGGUUUUUUAGUCUUGAGAUGAGUGGCAACAUUAAUUCCUUUGGAUCUGUUGAAUUAGCUUUUGUAUAUAAAAGAAGGUAUCCCUCCUCAAACAUGGCAGAUCCCCUUUCAAACCCAUUAUUUUAAAGAAAAGAAAAUGCUAAUUUAAUAGAAUAGUUGCCAACUAGGGACAAGCUCCAUUGAUGUGACAUUAAUUUUGGUAUAUUCUAACACUUGUUGACUAGAUUCAAUUGGACAGGAUUUUUAAUUUGGAUGAAAUUUAAGGGUAGUGAUUAAACAAUGGAAGUGACAUUGGAGGUUCUAAGUCCCUUUCACCUAAGGGAGAAAUGAGUUUGUUCAAUUGACACAGCUUUGGUACAUACAGAAAGUAAGCUAAUACCAUAGCCAUAUUUCUCAGGUGACUUGCAACAAAUUUGAGACUGAAGUAUGGCAAAAUAUUGGGUAUUUGUAUAAAUUACAAUACAAAUAAAGAAAAAAAAUGAAAGAGACUAAAUAGAAAGGGGAAGUGGAAAGGUCCCCAAAAUCAAUUAAUUGCAAGUGGAAGGAGCAAAGCCCAACUUUGUUGGCAACAAGGUCAUGUUCCCGCAGAUGAUUUUGUUGCAGGGUGUUGUAAAUGAUAUUUACUUCCAGGCUCUGUCUUUUGGCAAAUAGAAGCUGAUAAUGGUUCUCUGGAUCAAGCUCAAAUAUAGCUCCAUCUUCAAUAUGAAUUGCAAAUCCUGGCACUGAUGAGAAAAUCAAGCCUUGUUAUUGCUUUUAAUAAAAGCAAAUAAAAUUUGAAGGGUGUUCAGUUGGGCAAUUACUAGUUCCCAAGUAACAGUUUUAACUGCUACUUUCUUUUACCAAAUUCCCAAGAAACUAUUCUUAGAGCUUCUAGGACUAAGGAACAGACUGGGAGGAGGUGAAGAUAUCGAUUCCAUCAGUAAAACAGUGUUGGUGAACAUGAAAGACAGAAUGUCUUUUUGUUUCAAAUUUCAGAGCUUGUAAGAACUCAUAGAAAAACUUUUCAGUUUGGCAGAUUUUAGAGAGCAAACAUGUUUAAACUGAUGAUCGUUGACUAGUAUGCAAGUCUUCCUUGAAAAGACCAAACUUUUCAGUUUGCGGAGAACUCUUAUUUCUAAUUUUUAUGAUGCUUCAGUGUAGUCAUCUUGUAUUGUCUCUGCGAAUCAUAUAUAUAUACAUAUGACCCCCAAGCAGGCACUUGCAGGGCAUUAAGCUCAAACUGGGACUAAACCACUGGUAUCAAAGCAUAAGAGACAUAAACAUACUGGUCGAUAACUUUUAAUAAUGGCUUGGAGAUGAAAGAGCUAAGUAUACAGUUUGUCAAUUAUCGAGCAUCUAGUACUGACAGAGUUAUUUCAUUUGUGGAAGAAGAUACAUGCUUGUCUGAUGAAGAAUCUUCUUCAAGUGGAUUUUUUUAAAACAAAAUACCAGCUUGUUUGGGGUGUGGCAAUUCAGUUUCACUUCCCAACAUCAGAAUCACAAAUGACGUACUUGGCCUCUCCUCAGGAUGCUGUUGUAAACUUAAAAGACUGAUAAUGGAAGUAUUGUAUCACUUCUGAUAGAUUGCAAAGACUCUCCUAAGCAUUCUUCAACAGGUUUUAAAGGACUGUCUUAUUUCCAUAAUCUCCAUGCCUGCAGCAAAUUGAAACCCUUUUAGGUUUUAUCAAUCCAAGAUAAGCAACAAAAAAUUGAUUAUAAAAAUAUCUGCUGAAACUGACAUGUUCAACAAGGUUGCCGCUCUGUGAUGGAUGGUAAAGCCCUCUAUAUUUUCUUCCCACUUAUUAUCUCCAGCAAUAAUAUACCAAAGCUAAAGAGAUCUGAUUUUACUGAAAGCAGUCCAACAAUAGCAUAUUCAGUGCCAUAUAACCUCUGCAGAACAUUAUCAAGAGAAAUAACUAUCUGAGCAUAUGUAGACAUUAUGAAAAUAAAGUGACACUUACUAAGUUCCAACCACUCUUGCAGUGUUCCCUUCAGUUUGGUUUCCUCCAAAGUUCUAAGCAAUCCAAAAUCUGAAAUUUUUGGAUUCAUCUCACUAUCAAGCAGAACGUUACUAGCUUUGACAUCUCUAUGAAUGAAAAAAAACAUAUUCAAAUGAAAUGGCAAAGAAUCUAAUUAACUCUUUUGAAGAAACUGUGUUUGGAUUUGUUAGCAAAGGAACAGAAUAAGCAUAUUUGUGAAGGAUAUAUCAAAGUUACCAUUCAACUUUGCACGACCUCUGUGAAGGAAAUGACUGACAGUAAACAGCCCGAAAAGCACAACACAGUGGCGUUGCAAUUAAUGCAGGAAGUUUUAUCCUAGGCUUAUCUUUCAAUUCUGUAUGAUGAACUUUGAUAAAGAAAAGCAUACAUGAACAAAAACAAAAAAAGCAGCGAAAACAAGAGAAAAUGUAGACUCAUACCUGAUUCUGAAGCAGACAUUAUUAACAUAUAAGUCCUGCUCUUUUGAUUGAAAUUGUCUAUAAUCAAUCAGAUGAUGAAACCAAAGGGCCCAAACACUACCUCUUCCUCUGUUAUCUGAACUAGUGUAUGCCAUAAGGGAAUAGUUCUGUAGAUACUUAGCCUUGCAUCCCUUGAGUUUCAUAGCUUUAGUCACCUAAGAAAGUGUAGCAUCUGGCAUUUUCAAAUCUUUUAAAUCUGAUAAAUCCAUAUCUGCUUUGGCAGUUGAAUGGCUUAUUCUGUGCUUACACCCUUGGGGUCAGUCUGAUGAGUUCUAUCUUUCAGGGAAUUCAGGCUUAAACAUCAGCUUUCAGGGAAUCAAGGCUUGAAUCCUUUAAAAAGUGGAAGCUGAGUACCAUCACGAUGCCCUUUUGAACCACAAAGUCCAUAUCUGUCAAAAUAGUCUCUUGGAGCAAAUGAGAAAAGCAUCCAAGCUUACUUUCUGCAUUUCAUGUGUAGUCCUGUGAUCAAUGAUUUCUAUUUGAGACACUUAGGAUGGUUGACAUAUAAAAUACAAAUACCAGGUGGGUAGAUCAUGCGUUGUUUUUAUAAGAUGAUGUGAUUGACUGACUUUUGAUAAAUGAAGUAUACAGAAAGUGCAGCAGAAAACAAAUUAUAAACAUUGAGGUUCCAGAUAAUUUAUAUUAUUUAAUGAUUUGAAGCUUAUUCCUCUAAUCAUUCUCUUCACUGGACAAACAUAACUUCAAUGACUUACUUGCAUUAAAUGAUUUCCAAUUCAUGAACCAUUUGAGACCAGUGUGGAUGUGUUGUCUCACAUCUGAUAGGUUGCAGGAUAGUCCUAAGAAUUGAUCACCAAGUUCAACAGGGGUGCCUUCGUUCCUCCCAUUAUCUCCAAGCCUGCAGCAAAUUGAAAACCUUUUAGUCAUUUUGUUAUAUCUUUCAACAUUUUAAUUCAUAAUAAUCAAAGAAUUUUUGAAACAUGCGAGUGAAAAUGAAAAUAAAGGAAACGGGUGGGAAGGUGUAAUAGGAGGGGAUGUAGGAAAUGUCACAUAGCAAUUGGCGGAGAAAUGCAGAUUGAAGGGUGUUGAGUUGGAGAUUUAUUUUUAUAUUAAAAAAUAAAAAAUUAAAGACUUGGUUUUAUUUUGAUAUUAAAAAAGAGUAAUUAUUUAGCAAAUGAGAAAUUCGGAGAUAAAAAUAAACUCACAAUGUUUGUUUGCAGUUUUUAAUAAGAAGCAAGAGCCUUGCAACCACAUUUAAUCAAACACCUCUUCUACAAUUCAGACAUAAAGCUAGCCUUGUACCAUCCAAAAAAUAUUCAACAAAGGGAGAAAGGACAUCCUUAGCAUCAGGCUGAUCCCAUUCCACUGAUUCCCACCAUUCUCUCGGCCAUACUGUGAUUCCUUUUAGAGAAGGAGGAGGAGAUGGUUUCCCAUUUUCAACAAGGGGAAGAGACAAAGGGAUCCUCUUUACCGCUCUACACCCCGAUAUGACAAGAUGUUGGAGAGAAUCUGCAGGAAUCAUAAGUCCACCGCUACAAAUGCUUUUCAAUUUUGGUAAGUUAAUCAAGAAUAAUGAUUUUAAUUUGGGAAGAAUAAAUGUUGUUCCUUCUUCUUUCUGAUUUUCUUCUGAUGCUAUUAUUUCCUCCAUUUCUUCACAACCUCGGACAUAAAUUUCCUCUAAGUUUUGGAGGCUCUUCAACGGCUCGAUUGUAAGCAACUUCUUCACCCUCGAACAACCAAUCACAUAUAAUUGUUUAAGAGAAGAGAAGGCAGGUGGUGUUGGAGCAUGAGAGGUAGAUUCAAAUUCAACCGCUACUCCUACUUCUACUCCUACUCUCACAACUUCACGCAAGUUGCGUAAGAAACAUAGUUGUAACACCUCAAUGUUGUGAAGUGCGUCGCAAGACGAUAAUGACAAGUCAACCACACAC